GGGGCUAUGGGGUAGUCUGGAUUGGUAUAAAACCAAGGGCAAUUUAGCCUCUCGGCCUUGGGAGCCGAUGACCCCGGUUCAAAUCCGGGUAGCCCCA
rnacentral:tRNA from 1 species